rnacentral:rRNA from 1 species
ACCUGCGGAAGGAUCAUUACCGAGUGAGGGCCCUCUGGGUCCAACCUCCCACCCGUGUUUAUUUUACCUUGUUGCUUCGGCGGGCCCGCCUUAACUGGCCGCCGGGGGGCUUACGCCCCCGGGCCCGCGCCCGCCGAAGACACCCUCGAACUCUGUCUGAAGAUUGUAGUCUGAGUGAAAAUAUAAAUUAUUUAAAACUUUCAACAACGGAUCUCUUGGUUCCGGCAUCGAUGAAGAACGCAGCGAAAUGCGAUACGUAAUGUGAAUUGCAAAUUCAGUGAAUCAUCGAGUCUUUGAACGCACAUUGCGCCCCCUGGUAUUCCGGGGGGCAUGCCUGUCCGAGCGUCAUUGCUGCCCUCAAGCACGGCUUGUGUGUUGGGCCCCGUCCUCCGAUCCCGGGGGACGGGCCCGAAAGGCAGCGGCGGCACCGCGUCCGGUCCUCGAGCGUAUGGGGCUUUGUCACCCGCUCUGUAGGCCCGGCCGGCGCUUGCCGAUCAACCCGAAUUUUUAUCCAGGUUGACCUCGGAUCAGGUAGGGAUACCCGCUGAACUUAAGCAUAUCAA